GAGCCUGUGCUCCGCAACGGGAGAGGCCGCAACAGUGAGAGGCCCGCGUACCGCAAAAAAAAAAAAAAAAAAUUACAUUGGACUUCUCUUCAGAAUACAUGCAGGCAAGAAAAGAAUGGAGUGAAAUAUUUAAAGUAUUGAAGGAAAAGUCAUCAACCUAGAGUUCUGUAUCCAGUGAAAUUAUCACUGGAUAUACAAAGAACACAUAAAACUCAACAAUAAGAAAUGAACAACCCAAUUAAAAAAUAGGCAAAAUAUCUGAACACACCCCUCACUAAAUAAAAAUACAGACUUUAAAUAAUACAUGAAAAGAUGACAUCAUGUAUCAUUAGGGAAUUGCAACAGUGAGCUGCUAAUACACAUCUAUCAGAGUGGUUCAAAACAAAACAAAACAGAACAAACUGACAGUACCAAAUGUUCCACACUAAUGAGAUGUUAAUAAUAGGGAAACGGUUUUGGUGGGGAGGGACUGCAUAUGGGGACUCUCUGUAUUAUCUGCCCAAUUUUUGUGUAAAUUGAAAACUGUUCUAAAAACUGAAGUCUCCUAAUUUUUAAAAAACCAGUACAGGGUAUGUUGAGGAUGCAUGGAAGAUUCACAGAGUAAAAGAAUGACAAAGAUCAAACGGGUUCAGAGCUAGAAGAGACCUUAGGAUUGGUCAUUCGUUCAUCACAUAUUUAUUGGACGCUUGCAGAGUGUCACUCUCUGUGUGAGGCAUGGCAAGUUCAAUGAGAAGAAGACGGCCCCAUCGCAGUAGAGUACUGAGUGAACAAGGUCAAAUUAUCCCAUUUUGAUACGUGUGUGUGUGUGUGUGUGUGUCAGGGGUGGAGGAGAGCUUUGAGAGGAUGGUCACUAAGACAUUAACAGUAGUUAUUUCUGGAUGGGCUUUAUUUCCUUUUACUGGUUCAUCUCAUUUCGUAGUGUUUCUAUGAUACGCAUGCUUUGCCGUGGUAAUAAGAAAAUAAAAUAAUAAAAGUAAUUUUUCUUUUAUUCUAAAGAUGCCACUUUACAGAAUACUCCCAGGCAAAGGUGAAUUUGGAGCCAGGAUUGUGAAAACAUACGAAUUGGAGUGGGAUUUUACUUACACUUCCCUACAGAGACCAUCCCAACUGGAGCAAUCCACAUAGGCGUGGAAGAAUUAAAAAUCUAGACCCUUUCAUCAGGACUGUCUUUCCCAAGGGUUUCUGUCCCUGACAAAUGAAAUUCUCUUCCCAGCUGAGAGUUAUGGACAAAUCAAGGAAGAUGGGUCUGUGGUCCAUCUUACGGCUCCCCCUUCAACAAAUCCAACUUGCUU